UACGUAGGGGGCGAGCGUUGUCCGGAUUUAUUGGGCGUAAAGAGCGUGUAGGCGGUUCGGUAAGUCUGUCGUGAAAUCCUGAGGCUCAACCUCGGGCGUGCGAUGGAUACUGCCGGGCUAGAGGGUGGUAGAGGCGAGUGGAAUUCCCGGUGUAGCGGUGAAAUGCGCAGAUAUCGGGAAGAACACCGAUGGCGAAGGCAGAUCUCUGGGCCGUAACUGACGCUGAGGAGCGAAAGCAUGGGGAGCGAACAGG
rnacentral:rRNA from 1 species